AACUGCAGGAGUGCUCCAAGCCCCUGGGUGGCUCCUGGCAGCCUCCUCUCCAGAGUGAUGUCAUGGGACACAUUUAGCCUGGCCUCCUGCAGAAUGUCGCAUCCGGUUACUUUUCCUACAGAUGUCUCUGCUCCUUGCGAAUUUUUUUGAUUCAAAAACCUAUGUAGGAGCUGUGACUGAUUACAGCUUAACUGAGUAUUUUUCUGUUUUCCUGAGUGUGACUUGGCUUCUCCUGAGGGAUGGAAACAGGAAGGUCCUGUGCCUGGCUGUGGGAUCAUGGCCAGGUCUCUCUCCUCUCCAGUGGGUAAGGAGAUUUGUUCUUUUCUGUCCUGGGUUCCCAAGGUCUCCUUCCUUCUUUGUGGGUUCUCCAUUCAUGGACCAUCUAUGGGCAGCUGUGACUCUGAGGCUUCUAGACUUCUUGAGUGCCACAGUCAUGGAACCCAGCAGGAAGGAACCUAGAGUCAUGCUGUAGGGUGGAGGGAGCAGGCGGCCUCUUAGACAUUCCUCUUGGUCAGCAACAAUGGUGGGCAACUCUGUUCACACUUAUUUCCACCCACACUAGCAUCUUUGAGGGCUAGCAAUUGUUUUCAACCCUAGCUCAGGGUCUGGCCCAGUGAGUACAGAGACCACUAUCCCUUUUGGCAGGGCAGAACAUCUGCUCAGGCCACAGAGCAGUUCUGGCCUCCUCCUAUCCAUUCAUUCUUUUAGCUUAUGUCCACCUCUAGGUACCCUUUGUCUGGCCUCCUGCUGGAACUUGGAGGCAGGUAAGACAAAUCAGAAACAACAAUAGCCGUAGUCUAGCAUGGUGAGCUUGGUGACAGAGGACUGAUCCUAUUCUAACCAGGGCAAGGUCUCCUAGUCGAGGAAAUAUUCAACCUGAACCAUAAAUAUUUGUGUGAGAGUUUGCCAGGCUUCAAAGUGGGGCAGAGUAUACCAUUUCUAGACCUGUGUCUGUUUCUGUCAUGCCAUGCAGCCCUGGGUAAGCUUCUGCCCCUUUCUGUGUUCAUUGGUACAAGGAAGUGCUGAUCCAGAGACUUCAAAACCCAUUAGGCAAGACUCUGCUGCCUUUUUUAUCAUCACAGUUGAAUGGUCACCCUCUAGGCCUGAAAGACACAGUGUCCACUGCAUUCUGUCUGUUAGUGGCUCUAAGAAACAGCGUAAGAUGAGCUCAGCCAUUAUGGGUUCAGGUUUUCCUGCUCCUACAACAUCUGAAAUAUUUUUCUUCUCUGACAUUGUCAUUUUUCUUCUCUGACAUUGUCGGGGGGCUCAGUUAUUUGUAUCUCCCAGGCCUUUUUGAACACUUAUAUUUUGUUAGUGUCUCACAUUGUAAUUAUAUCUUUCCAAUGAAGCUCAGAAAAUUCUCUUUUUCAGCCUCUCUUAGGCUGGCCCUUCCUAAGGAUCUUAGAAUUUUUCAGUGUGAGAUGCCUCUAUGAGUCUUUGAUCCCAAAGCUUGUAAUAUAGUGCUAUAUAUAGCAAUAUAGUGCUAUAUUCUAUAUUCAAUAUAGAAAUAAGGGCAGCCAUCUUAGCACAAGGAUGGUAGCAGAAGCAAUGGUUGACAGAUGAUUCUGGGAAUUAUUACUGAAAGAUGAAAUUUGAGGCUCUUUCUUUCUUUCUUUCAGUACCAGGGAUUAUUGAACCCAGGGGCACUUUACCACUGAGCCACAUCUCCAGCCCUUUUUUAUUUUGUUAUUUUGAGAUAGGGUCUUACUAAGUUUCUUAGGACCUCAUCAAGUUGCUAAGGUGGGCUUUGAAUUUGUAAUCCUCUUGCCUCAGCCUCUCUUGUUGCGGGGAUUACAGGCAUGAGCCAUCACACCUGGCUUGAGGCUGUUUCUUGAGCCUUCCCAAAAUGCUGUGAACCACCUAGCACUCUUUAUUUAGCAUGCUCCUUUUCUGCUUAAAACAGUCAUUUAAUAGGAUUUUGUUUUUUAGGGUCCAGAACUCAGAUUGACCUCCUCACUGUCUCACUGCUAAGCCCUCUAGAGUUUGUGGCUAUAGGGUUAGGGACACAGCACAACACAUCUCCUGUCCCCAUAACUGCAUACACUAGUAAUUGGAGGCUCUGGCUGGUGAAACCAGAUCUUUGCUCUCCUUUAUUUUGACAACCACAAAUCUAGAGAACUGAUCCCAAAUCUUGAAAUUCAGCAAAGAAUCUACUCAAGAUAGCUGCCCUGUCUAGAGCAAAGGCUUUGAAGACAAGAUGAAAUGGUUGGAGACUGGUAAACACUCAAUGCAUGGACCCCAACCAAAGAUUAAUAACAUUUUUCAAUUUGGAAAAUAUAGAAAAAAUAUGAAUUGAAAUCACUUGUAUUCUAUCCCCCAAAGAUAAUAACCAAUACAAUUUUGCAUAUUUUCUGAUAACAAUAGCAUCUCACAUUUAUAUAGUGUUUAGUAUAUGCCAGGCAUUAUUUCUAGACACUUUACAUGUUAUGGACUGGCUUGUGUUCCUCUCAAUUCAGAUGUUGAAGCCCUAACCCUCAAUGUGACUGUAUUUAGAAAUAGAGACUUUAAGGACACAAUUAAGGUUAACUGAGUUCAUAAAGGUGGAACACUAAUACAAAAGAACUAUUGUGGGCUGGGGAUGUGGCUCAAUCGGUAGCGCGCUCACCUGGCAAGCGUGUGGCCCAGGUUGGAUCCUCAGCACCACAUACAAACAAAGAUACUGUGUCCGCUGAUAACUAAAAAACAAAUAUUAAAAUUCUCUCUGUCUCUCUCUCUCUCUUUAAAAAAAAAAAAAAAGGACUAUUGUCCUGAUAAGAAGAGACACCAGAAAUAAAGGUCACGUGAGGACACCAAGGGAAAGAAGUCAUCUGCAAGCCCAGGAGAAAGGUCUCAAAAGAAACCAACUCUGACAUCACACUGAUUUUGGAUUUCCACCCUCCAGAUGUGUGUAAAUAAAAUUUUUUUGUUUAAGCCACCCGGUCUGUGGUAUUUUAUUAUUAAAUUUCUAGCAGAACAAGACAAUAUGCUAACACAUUUAAUGCAUAAACAUUGUUUUCUAUCCUUGUAUUGCACAAUUUAAUAAGUGUUUAUUAAAUGAAUGAAUGAAUGGUAGAUACUGUUAUGGUUGAGAUCUGGACUCUCCCCCAAAGACAGUUCAUGUGUUGACAGCUUGGUCCCCAAUGCAGCAAUAUUCAGAGGUAGCAAUAUGCAGAGCAGUAUUUACUUGCUUUGGGCAAGUGACUAUAUCUAACCUCAUCAAUCUAUUAAUAUAUUCAUAAUUUAUAUGGAUUUAGAAGGUAGUAGAAACUGUAGGAGGUGGGCCUAGUUAAAGGGAGUAGAUCCUUGGGAACUAGACUAUGGGCUAAAAACCUCUCAAACUGCAAGCCAAAAUAAAUCUUUCCUCCUUUAAGUUGAUUUUUUCAGGUAUUUUGUCAUAGUGACAAAAAGUUAACACAAAUAUUGUUUAUUCAGUACCAUAUGCUUUUUAAAAACUUGACAAUUAAGUAUUUCUCCCAUACUAUUACUUAAUUACAUUUUUAAAAUAGACAUGUGAUAUUAACAGUAAAUGUUGCGUCCCCACAGUACUAGGCACUGUUCUAGGUUCUGGGAAUAUAACAGUGAACAAACAAAAAAUCUUGCCCACAUGGAAUGCAAUUGUUUCAUGGAAAUGCCUUUGCCCAACUGUCAGACAGGAAUUAGCCCACUUAUUUGGGAAUGUUUCUUUUAAUGAAAAUUCUCUGAGAGAGAGUCACAAUUAAUAAGAUCCUUUUCCUUUUAAAAGGCCAAUUAACAACUGAAAGGCUUCUGAUGCUUCUCUGAACCAUGGAAAGACAAAGCAUUUUGAAAUUGUUCUUAGUCCACUAGGCUGGGAGUUAGUACUGGUCAAGCGGUCAGCACCUCCAGGUUCCUAAAGAAACACCUGUGCAUAGGUUCCCCAUUCAUGCAAGGUCAAGAUUUGGUGCAAAAUAAACUACAUUUUAAAUAUUUGGAAAAUAAAACAAACUAGAAGAAAAUAGAGUUGAAUGUUAUGCCAUGUGAGGAUGGUAAGGGCUUUUCCUGUACAACAUAGAAAGCAGAAACCACAAAGGAAAAGAGGGGUAGAUUUGAGCGUCUGACUACAUGCAAAUUUAAAAUGUCUGCAAUUUAAAAACCACCAUUUAAAAAGUCUAAAAGAUAAAUAGAUAACUUGCAAAAAAAUAUUUAUGCCACAAAAACACAAAGUUUGAUAUGUAACCCAAAUUAAUAAAAACAACNUUCUUAGGACCUCAUCAAGUUGCUAAGGUGGGCUUUGAAUUUGUAAUCCUCUUGCCUCAGCCUCUCUUGUUGCGGGGAUUACAGGCAUGAGCCAUCACACCUGGCUUGAGGCUGUUUCUUGAGCCUUCCCAAAAUGCUGUGAACCACCUAGCACUCUUUAUUUAGCAUGCUCCUUUUCUGCUUAAAACAGUCAUUUAAUAGGAUUUUGUUUUUUAGGGUCCAGAACUCAGAUUGACCUCCUCACUGUCUCACUGCUAAGCCCUCUAGAGUUUGUGGCUAUAGGGUUAGGGACACAGCACAACACAUCUCCUGUCCCCAUAACUGCAUACACUAGUAAUUGGAGGCUCUGGCUGGUGAAACCAGAUCUUUGCUCUCCUUUAUUUUGACAACCACAAAUCUAGAGAACUGAUCCCAAAUCUUGAAAUUCAGCAAAGAAUCUACUCAAGAUAGCUGCCCUGUCUAGAGCAAAGGCUUUGAAGACAAGAUGAAAUGGUUGGAGACUGGUAAACACUCAAUGCAUGGACCCCAACCAAAGAUUAAUAACAUUUUUCAAUUUGGAAAAUAUAGAAAAAAUAUGAAUUGAAAUCACUUGUAUUCUAUCCCCCAAAGAUAAUAACCAAUACAAUUUUGCAUAUUUUCUGAUAACAAUAGCAUCUCACAUUUAUAUAGUGUUUAGUAUAUGCCAGGCAUUAUUUCUAGACACUUUACAUGUUAUGGACUGGCUUGUGUUCCUCUCAAUUCAGAUGUUGAAGCCCUAACCCUCAAUGUGACUGUAUUUAGAAAUAGAGACUUUAAGGACACAAUUAAGGUUAACUGAGUUCAUAAAGGUGGAACACUAAUACAAAAGAACUAUUGUGGGCUGGGGAUGUGGCUCAAUCGGUAGCGCGCUCACCUGGCAAGCGUGUGGCCCAGGUUGGAUCCUCAGCACCACAUACAAACAAAGAUACUGUGUCCGCUGAUAACUAAAAAACAAAUAUUAAAAUUCUCUCUGUCUCUCUCUCUCUCUUUAAAAAAAAAAAAAAAGGACUAUUGUCCUGAUAAGAAGAGACACCAGAAAUAAAGGUCACGUGAGGACACCAAGGGAAAGAAGUCAUCUGCAAGCCCAGGAGAAAGGUCUCAAAAGAAACCAACUCUGACAUCACACUGAUUUUGGAUUUCCACCCUCCAGAUGUGUGUAAAUAAAAUUUUUUUGUUUAAGCCA
rnacentral:lncRNA from 1 species